rnacentral:rRNA from 1 species
GAUGAACGCUGGCGGCGUGCCUAAUACAUGCAAGUCGAGCGAACAGACGAGGAGCUUGCUCCUCUGACGUUAGCGGCGGACGGGUGAGUAACACGUGGAUAACCUACCUAUAAGACUGGGAUAACUUCGGGAAACCGGAGCUAAUACCGGAUAAUAUAUUGAACCGCAUGGUUCAAUAGUGAAAGACGGUUUUGCUGUCACUUAUAGAUGGAUCCGCGCCGCAUUAGCUAGUUGGUAAGGUAACUGCUUACCAAGGCAACGAUGCGUAGCCGACCUGAGAGGGUCAUCGGCCACACUGGAACUGAGACACGGUCCAGACUCCUACGGGAGGCAGCAGUAGGGAAUCUUCCGCAAUGGGCGAAAGCCUGACGGAGCAACGCCGCGUGAGUGAUGAAGGUCUUCGGAUCGUAAAACUCUGUUAUUAGGGAAGAACAAAUGUGUAAGUAACUAUGCACGUCUUGACGGUACCUAAUCAGAAAGCCACGGCUAACUACGUG